AUUGAACGCUGGCGGCAGGCCUAACACAUGCAAGUCGAGCGGAGCGGCGGACGGGUGAGUAAUGACUAGGAAUCUGCCUGGUCGAGGGGGAUAACGUCCGGAAACGGGAGAUAAUACCGCAUACGAUUAGAUGAGACUAGGGCGGAUUAGCUCGGUGGUGGGGUAAAGGCCUACCAAGGAGACGAACCGUAACUGGUCUGAGAGGAUGAUCAGUCACACUGGAACUGAGACACGGUCCAGACGCCUACGGUAGGCAGCAGUGGGGAAUAUUGGGCAAUGGGCGAAAGCCUGAUCCAGCCAUGCCGCGUGAGUGAAGAAGGUCUUCGGAUUGUAAAGCUCUUUAAGUUGGGAGGCGUUACCAACAGAAUAAGCACCGGCUAACUUCGUGCCAGCAGCCGCGGUAAUAC
rnacentral:rRNA from 1 species